GAUGAACGCUGGCGGCGUGCUUAACACAUGCAAGUCGAACGAACCUUCGGGUUAGUGGCGGACGGGUGAGUAACGCGUGGGAAUCUGCCCUCAGGAGGGGGAUAACGGUUGGAAACGACCGCUAAUACCCCAUAUGCCGAGAGGUGAAAUGAAUUUCGCCUGAGGAUGAGCCCGCGUCUGAUUAGCUUGUUGGUGAGGUAAUGGCUCACCAAGGCAUCGAUCAGUAGCUGGUCUGAGAGGAUGAUCAGCCACACUGGGACUGAGACACGGCCCAGACUCCUACGGGAGGCAGCAGUGGGGAAUUUUCCGCAAUGGGCGAAAGCCUGACGGAGCAACGCCGCGUGAGGGACGAAGGCCUCUGGGCUGUAAACCUCUUUUCUCAAGGAAGAAGAUAUGACGGUACUUGAGGAAUAAGCCACGGCUAAUUCCGUGCCAGCAGCCGCGGUAAUACGGGAGUGGCAAGCGUUAUCCGGAAUUAUUGGGCGUAAAGCGUCCGCAGGCGGCCCUUCAAGUCUGCUGUUAAAACGUGGAGCUCAACUCCAUCAUGGCAGUGGAAACUGAUUGGCUUGAGUAUGGUAGGGGCAGAGGGAAUUCCCGGUGUAGCGGUGAAAUGCGUAGAUAUCGGGAAGAACACCAGUGGCGAAGGCGCUCUGCUGGGCCAUUACUGACGCUCAUGGACGAAAGCCAGGGGAGCGAAAGGGAUUAGAUACCCCUGUAGUCCUGGCCGUAAACGAUGAACACUAGGUGUCGGGGGAAUCGACCCCUUCGGUGUCGUAGCUAACGCGUUAAGUGUUCCGCCUGGGGAGUACGCACGCAAGUGUGAAACUCAAAGGAAUUGACGGGGGCCCGCACAAGCGGUGGAGUAUGUGGUUUAAUUCGAUGCAACGCGAAGAACCUUACCAGGGCUUGACAUCCUGCGAACCUUUAAGAAAUUAGAGGGUGCCUUCGGGAACGCAGUGACAGGUGGUGCAUGGCUGUCGUCAGCUCGUGUCGUGAGAUGUUGGGUUAAGUCCCGCAACGAGCGCAACCCACGUUUUUAGUUGCCAGCAUUUAGUUGGGCACUCUAGAAAGACCGCCGGUGAUAAACCGGAGGAAGGUGUGGGUGACGUCAAGUCAUCAUGCCCCUUACGUCCUGGGCUACACACGUACUACAAUGCUACGGACAAAGGGCAGCAAACUCGCGAGAGCUAGCAAAUCCCAUAAACCGUGGCUCAGUUCAGAUCGUAGGCUGCAACUCGCCUACGUGAAGUAGGAAUCGCUAGUAAUCGCAGGUCAGCAUACUGCGGUGAAUACGUUCCCGGGCCUUGUACACACCGCCCGUC
rnacentral:rRNA from 1 species